AUGGAUCAUAGGAAUAGUGAUCGUCUCAAGGAAGUGUUGAAAGCAACCAGUUAUCAAAUCACUAAGUUUGAAACCCAAUCAACUGAAACAUUGGAUCAUCUCGUAGAGUUAAAACCAUUCAUGGAUUGGUUUACAGAUUUCAUCACCAAUGACUCUUGCAUGACGCAAGAUGAAUUACGCAUGUUUGAAGAAUUAGAAGAUGAAGAGAAUAUACUGUACGGAGAAGAUUUAGAGAAUGCCUUGGACCAGUUCUUCGAAGAACAUUCUGAAGACUUUGACGAUCUCAUCAAAAUAACUGGUAUUGAAUUUAUGCAAGAGGAAGUGACGGAAACAGAUACAGCAGUACAGCAUUUAAAAAGUCUGUGGAAACUUCUUGCGACCAAACUUCAAUCAAUCAAAGAAAAUGCUGUGGGUAUGGAUCUGAGGAAGAAAGAGGUAUCGAAGGAACUCAGCGAAAUAGUCACAAGUUUACUGGAACUGAAUAACAGUUUAAAUAAUAUACUCAAUACCCUGCACAAAACAUUUAAAGAUUUAAAAGAGCCAUUGGUCCAGUUCGAUGAGAAUAAUGUGAAUGGACCCUAUUUAUCACAGCAAUCUUUAACGAAGUAUAUGAAUGAGAGCUCUAAGUUUGAAAAAAAUGUAUCACGUUACUUCAAAUUCAAAUUCAACGAUCGCGCCAAAUCAGAUGUAUCUGUUUUAGAAUCUCUGAUGAGCAAACUGACCUGUGCUCCGGCCCCAGAGCCCUCAGACACUCUCAGUCAAGAAGAAGCAUUUCCGCAGAUAAAAUGUAAAAAACUCGUCAGAGAACUUGAAUGUGUACGAAAACAUAUCAAAACAAGUCGUGAAGAGAAAACUUUGGCUUCAGCUGACGAAAAAGCUUACUCUUUAGCUUUGGAGCAGAUGAAUACUUUGAUCGAAAGUUUCAACAGCAACCUAAAAGUAACGACCUCUGAGAUAAGGUACCAGAGUACUGAAAACGCUGACAAAUUUGUUAAUGCAAAGAAGACCGAGUCGGAAUUGAAGCAAUCUCUGUCUGCAAACUGUGAAACAGAAAGUACAAAUGAAUCUUUAAAAUCUUUAUCUGACAUCCAGGUCAUCAAGUUGAAGCGACAAGAAACCAAGCUGGACAAUCUCAAUAGAUUGUGUGAUUUCAUUCAAAAGCGUCUGCAUUGUGAUGAGUAUCUAAUUUUGUUCCUUCAAAAUGAACUCUUAAAAAUCGAACUAUUGAUUCAAUUUCUAGAUGACACAAUGAAUACUGCAAGUAAGGAAUGUGAAACACUUCAUAAUAACAGAGAAGUUGUGAUGAGCCAAGAAGAUUUUUUGAAGAAACAAGCAGUGCAGUUGUGCAAAGGACACCCUUUGAUAAACACUUUGAACGCUCUCUACAAACUGAAAGCUGAGGACUCGAACGACAUCACCACCUUGGUUCACACAAUUGAGGUUCAAAAUAAAAUCAUUACAGAUGUCAGUUACCAACUAGCACACAUGUACAAUCUUGGAGGAUCUAAUGGUAAAGAUUCAUUGACGUACAUACGAGAGUUGACAAACAAUAUAUUCAGCGGAAAAGCAAGGCAGCCUGUCGCAAACGUGAAUAAGUCAAUGGUGCCUGUUAAAUCUGCAGAAAAGCGGAUAGAAAGUUUGAAAGAACUUUACAAUCUUCAAAAAUUCUCAUUUGAAGAGCACAUCGAUUACUUGACACGGAAGCCACACUUGAAAUUGGAGGUAUCAUUGUGGUCUCGCUUCUUGGUGCGGCCCAUCGAAUUCAAAGCAUUAGGGGAUGAAGCAAAAAAGAAACUUAAAAGUAAAGCAUCCAGCUAUGAGGCAAUUACUUUCAGGAAGCCUAGGAGGGCUUGA
rnacentral:lncRNA from 1 species